rnacentral:rRNA from 1 species
AGAGUUUGAUCCUGGCUCAGGAUGAACGCUAGCGGGAGGCUUAACACAUGCAAGUCGAGGGGCAGCAUUAUCUGCUUGCAGAUAGAUGGCGACCGGCGGACGGGUGCGUAACGCGUAUAUAACUUGCCUAUCACUAGAGGAUACCCAUUGGAAACGAUGAAUAAGACUCUAUAGGCUGUAGAUUUGCAUAAAUUUAACAGUAAAGGUUACGGUGGUAGAUAGGUAUGCGUCCAAUUAGCUAGUUGGUAAGGUAAUGGCUUACCAAGGCGAUGAUUGGUAGGGGGCCUGAGAGGGCGAACCCCCACACUGGUACUGAGACACGGACCAGACUCCUACGGGAGGCAGCAGUGAGGAAUAUUGGUCAAUGGAGGGAACUCUGAACCAGCCAUCCCGCGUGUAGGAAGACGGCCUUAUGGGUUGUAAACUACUUUUAUACAGGAAGAAACUUAUCCACGAGUGGAUAACUGACGGUACUGUAGGAAUAAGCACCGGCUAACUCCGUGCCAGCAGCCGCGGUAAUACGGAGGGUGCGAGCGUUAUCCGGAUUUAUUGGGUUUAAAGGGUCCGUAGGCGGGCUAAUAAGUCAGUGGUGAAAUCCCGUCGCUUAACGAUGGAACUGCCAUUGAUACUGUUAGUCUUGAAUAAGGUUGCAGUGGUUGGAAUGUGUAGUGUAGCGGUGAAAUGCUUAGAUAUUACACAGAACACCAAUUGCGAAAGGCAGAUCACUAAGCCUUUAUUGACGCUGAGGGACGAAAGCGUGGGGAGCGAACAGGAUUAGAUACCCUGGUAGUCCACGCCGUAACGAUGAUUACUCGGUGUUGGGUCUAAAUUAGAUUCAGUGCCUAAGCGAAAGUGAUAAGUAAUCACCUGGGGGAGUACGUUCGCAGAUGAAACUCAAAGGAAUUGACGG